rnacentral:rRNA from 1 species
UACGGAGGGGGCUAGCGUUGCUCGGAAUUACUGGGCGUAAAGCGCACGUAGGCGGCUUUGCAAGUCAGAGGUGAAAGCCCGGGGCUCAACCCCGGAAUUGCCUUUGAGACUGCAUCGCUAGAACGUCGGAGAGGUGAGUGGAAUUCCGAGUGUAGAGGUGAAAUUCGUAGAUAUUCGGAAGAACACCAGUGGCGAAGGCGACUCACUGGACGACUGUUGACGCUGAGGUGCGAAAGCGUGGGGAGCAAACAGG